rnacentral:rRNA from 1 species
GACAGAGGUGCCAAGCGUUAGGCGGAAUCACUGGGCUUAAAGCGUGUGUAGGCGGAUGCCUAAGUACCUUGUGAAAUCCCACGGCUCAACCGUGGAACUGCUUGGUAUACUGGGUGUCUUGAGCCAUCUAGGGGCUACCGGAACAAAUGGUGGAGCGGUGAAAUGCGUAGAUAUCAUUUGGAACGCCAAUGGUGAAAACAGGUAGCUGGGGAUGUGCUGACGCUGAGACACGAAGCCAGGGGAGCAAACGGG